rnacentral:lncRNA from 1 species
GGGUGUCACAGAGCCUGCCGCUCUGUCAGACUCACCUUUGUCUUCUCUGUGAGAAGGACCAGGCUCCUGAUUUUUGGCUGAUUUUUCAGUCAAGCCCAGAUGGAAAAUUCUAGAAAGGGAGGAGGCUUCAUUUGGAUUUUUAAUUUCUGCUGCAAUCUCAGAAUCCUGGGUCCCUUUUGGGACCUAAGCCCCAUCUCCUGGCAGGAUUUUCUAUCACCGGAAUACAGUAGAUUUUCCCUCCUUUUUUUUUUUUUUCCCCAGCACCUUAACUCUCAGCUUCCCAGACUUUCUCCAAUGACAGAGCUGGGUGGGUGGAGGAGGAGAGGGGUUGCAAGAAAGCUUGCCGGCUGGGGUGAGGAGACUGUGUGUGGAGCAGGCGUGAGCGUGGGCCGCGUGGGAAAGAAUGCGAGGCUGCCGUCAAGCCCAGCGUCCACACGAGGAGGCCUGCGAUGGCGUCUGAGGGAGCAAGGUAAAGGUGAGGGCCGGAGCUCAAGAGGAAGCCUCAGCGAGGACCAGGAACCGGGACACACCUCAGCCAUCCUGUGAGGGGCAGCCCAGUGGAGACUUCCAGCCGCCCUGGAGGUCCUUGCACCCAAGACACUUCACCUACCCCAGGGAGAGAAGCAGAAAGGCACUUCGCCACUGUCUCCAUCAGUGCUGUUGAACUCAAAUACUGCCAUGGGUGGAGGCCAGCAGGGCAGCGUGUCCCUAGCAAGACAGCGACUGGGCAACGCACCUGUGCCAAACCCUGCCAGAAGCCCAGCACGUCCAAGGUGAUCCUGAGGGCUGUGGCGGACAAGGGGACCUGCAAGUAUGUGUCCCUGGCCACCCUGAAGAAGGCUGUUUCCACCACGGGCUACGACAUGGCCCGAAAUGCCUAUCACUUCAAGCGUGUGCUCAAGGGGCUGGUGGACAAGGGCUCAGCAGGUGACCGGCAGGGGGGCCUCAGGCUCCUUCACCCUGGGCAAGAAGCAGGCCUCCAAGUCCAAGCUCAAGGUCAAGAGGCAACGACAGCAGAGGUGGCGCUCUGGGCAGCGCCCCUUUGGACAGCACAGGUCACUACUGGGCUCCAAACAGGGGCACAAGCGGCUUAUCAAGGGGGUUCGAAGGGUGGCCAAGUGCCACUGCAAUUAAUGAGGCAGGCCAGGCAAGCAGUCAGGGGUGCCAAGACCGCCAUUGGCUCAGUGCAGUGGGAAUAAAAGGAACAUAACUUAUUUCA